rnacentral:lncRNA from 1 species
GAUCAAAACACAAUGACACAAACUUCAAAAGUCUAGAGAAACUUAGGUCUUAAGAUUAUUUCAUUUAAAAAGCAUCUAGAUUGAGUGCUUUGAAAACACACCCAAAGCAAUAAAGACUGAAAAAAAAAAGAGAACCACAGCAACACUAACAGGAAAGUCCCUCCGAUCUUCAAUAAAACAAAAGAAGUAGCCAGAGCUUCGAACUAUACACAGUCAUGUGUACUGUGAACUACUAUGGAAUCUGUACUAAUAUGAGGAGAGAAACUAUUAAUAAGAGCCAACACAAACUUCAGAAAUAGAAGAGAAAAGGGGUGUCCUUACAAGUGUCAUAGUUUUGCGUGUAAUAUCUGAUGAUCCAACAGAAUAUCAGGUCUGGGAACGGAAUGGGUGCAGCCUGUGAGUAGGCAAAUAUCCUAGAAAUUUAUGCCACAGAAAGUCAAGGAAGGUAGCA